CCUACGGGAGGCAGCAGUGAGGAAUAUUGGUCAAUGGACGGAAGUCUGAACCAGCCAUGCCGCGUGCAGGAAGACGGCUCUAUGAGUUGUAAACUGCUUUUGUACAAGGGUAAACCUGAAUACGUGUAUUCAGCUGAAAGUACUGUACGAAUAAGGAUCGACUAACUCCGUGCCAGCAGCCGCGGUAAUACGGAGGAUCCAAGCGUUAUCCGGAUUUAUUGGGUUUAAAGGGUGCGUAGGCGGAUUGAUAAGUUAGAGGUGAAAUGUCCGAGCUUAACUCGGGAACUGCCUCUAAUACUGUUGAUCUAGAGAGUAGGUGCGGUAGGCGGAAUGUAUGGUGUAGCUGUGAAAUGCUUAGAGAUCAUACAGAACACCGAUUGCGAAGGCAGCUUACCAAUCUAUAUCUGACGUUGAGGCACGAAAGCGUGGGGAGCAAACAGGAUUAGAUACCCUUGUAGUC
rnacentral:rRNA from 1 species